rnacentral:rRNA from 1 species
CCUACGGGGGGCAGCAGUGGGGAAUAUUGCACAAUGGGGGAAACCCUGAUGCAGCGACGCCGCGUGAGUGAAGAAGUAAUUCGUUAUGUAAAGCUCUAUCAGCAGGGAAGAAAAUGACGGUACCUGAGUAAGAAGCCCCGGCUAACUACGUGCCCGCAGCCGCGGUAAUACGUAGGGGGCAAGCGUUAUCCGGAUUUACUGGGUGUAAAGGGAGCGUAGACGGCAGUGCAAGUCUGGAGUGAAAGGCGCGGGCUCAACCCCCGGCCUGCUCUGGAAACUGUACGGCUAGAGUGCAGGAGAGGUAAGUGGAAUUCCUAGUGUAGCGGUGAAAUGCGUAGAGAUUAGGAGGAACACCAGUGGCGAAGGCGGCUUACUGGACUGUAACUGACGUUGAGGCUCGAAAGCGUGGGGAGCAAACAGGAUUAGAUACCCCAGUAGUC